GGGGUUGUGGCUCAGUGGUAGAGCACUCACCUGCACGUGUGAGGCUCUGGGUUCAAUCCUUAGCACCACA
rnacentral:tRNA from 1 species